ACAUUCACAUUUAACACAUCUCUUGCGGUCUCUUUCUUUCUGUUUUAUCCGUUAUUAUAUCUGUCUUCGAUCAAUGGUCAAAUCUAUGUGGGUAACAAAUACGUGUAAUUAGUGUGUUUCUAUUGAGUUGUGGUUAUAGUUUCAGUUUUACUUUACCCACUUAACCGUGCGUGCCCACCCUCUUGACCCAACACCCUGCAGCACACAGCCACCUACACUCAACACUUAGCAUACUGUACAUUUAUAUCUCAGUAACAGAUUAAUAUGAUUCACUGCCCAGUCGCUUGCAUCCAUGUCAAUUAGGAAGAAUAAACAAAGCCAGACAGCAAUGAAAAUGUGCUCGCUGUGGCAGAAGGGAAGUAAUCUGAUCGAUGCAAAUAUAAUCUGAUGUAUCUGAAUGCUAAAAUAACUUUGUUAUAUUUCAUAAAUUGUCAAUUUCUAUAACAAUGUCUGGACCACAUGCACCUUGGAUAUGCACACACACACACACACACACACACACACACAGGCCUGGCUCUCUCAGCUCAGAAUGUUGUGUCAUCAGAGUCAGAGCUACUGUCUCACUGUGUAAUUGCAUAACCUGUAAAGACAUUCUAAAUAAUGCAUGGUCAGACUAGACAUGGGCAGCCUGACGGAAAACCUUACCUCAACAAUUCGCUUUGUCUGGCCAAAGACUGGACACUCCAGAGACAAGACUGGAGAACUGUGUGUGUGUGUGUGUGUGUGUCCCAGCCAGUAUCAAUACAUUAGUUAGGGUCGGGAUGAGUUGCGUUUCCUUUUGUGACAUUCAGGAUGAGACUUUGAUCAAAACUAUGGCACAAAAGUAUGCUGGUUAUUAAACUUGUGAAUCUUAUAUUUGGAAUAAAAAAAAAAGGCAACAAGUGUCGUCUCCAGUUUAUGGGAAUGUACAUUCUUUAUUUCCAAACUAAGAAAGGUGAAUCUCAGCAGCAACAUGGCACAGGCAUAGCAGACAUACACAGCAUCUUGACUUUUUGUAUCUUCCAUCUGAUUUAAACUCUUGUUAAUAAUUAAAGUGGCCUUUAUCCAAUGCGUAUUCAGAGGCUCUACUAAACAAUCCCAACACAUCAGGA